rnacentral:rRNA from 1 species
GAUGAACGCUGGCGGCGUGCCUAAUACAUGCAAGUCGAGCGAACAGACGAGGAGCUUGCUCCUCUGACGUUAGCGGCGGACGGGUGAGUAACACGUGGAUAACCUACCUAUAAGACUGGGAUAACUUCGGGAAACCGGAGCUAAUACCGGAUAAUAUAUUGAACCGCAUGGUUCAAUAGUGAAAGACGGUUUUGCUGUCACUUAUAGAUGGAUACGGGCCGCAUUAGCUAGUUGGUAAGGUAACGGCUUACCAAGGCAACGAUGCGUAGCCGACCUGAGAGGGUGGUCGCCCACACUGGAACUUAGCCACGGUCCAUGCUCCUGCGGGAGGGAGCAGUAGGGUAUCUUCCGCAAUAGGCGAGAGCCUGACGGAGCGACGCCGCGUGAGUGAUGAAGGUCUUCGGAUCGUAAAGCUCGGUUAUUAGGGAAGAACAAAUGUGUAAGUAAAUAUGCACGGCUUGACGGUACCUAAUCAGAAAGCCACGGCUAACUACGUG